rnacentral:rRNA from 1 species
GAUGAACGCUAGCGGCAGGCUUAACACAUGCAAGUCGAGGGGUAUUGGUUUUCGGACCAAGAGACCGGCGCACGGGUGCGUAACGCGUAUGCAAUCUGCCUUUCACAGAGGGAUAGCCCAGAGAAAUUUGGAUUAAUACCUCAUAGUAUUACGAUAGGGCAUCCUAUUGUAAUUAAAGUCACAACGGUGAAAGAUGAGCAUGCGUCCCAUUAGCUAGUUGGUAUGGUAACGGCAUACCAAGGCUACGAUGGGUAGGGGUCCUGAGAGGGAGAUCCCCCACACUGGUACUGAGACACGGACCAGACUCCUACGGGAGGCAGCAGUGAGGAAUAUUGGUCAAUGGGCGCAAGCCUGAACCAGCCAUGCCGCGUGCAGGAUGACGGUCCUAUGGAUUGUAAACUGCUUUUGUACGGGAAGAAACACUCCUACGUGUAGGAACUUGACGGUACCGUAAGAAUAAGGAUCGGCUAACUCCGUGCCAGCCGCCGCGGUAAGAC